UACGUAGGGUGCAAGCGUUGUCCGGAAUUAUUGGGCGUAAAGAGCUCGUAGGCGGUCUGUCGCGUCUGCUGUGAAAACUCAGGGCUUAACCCUGAGCUUGCAGUGGGUACGGGCAGACUAGAGUGCGGUAGGGGAGACUGGAAUUCCCGGUGUAGCGGUGAAAUGCGCAGAUAUCAGGAGGAACACCGGUGGCGAAGGCGGGUCUCUGGGCCGGUACUGACGCUGAGGAGCGAAAGCGUGGGGAGCAAACAGG
rnacentral:rRNA from 1 species